UACGUAGGGGGCGAGCGUUGUCCGGAUUUAUUGGGCGUAAAGAGCGUGUAGGCGGUUCGGUAAGUCUGUCGUGAAAUCCUGAGGCUCACCUCGGGCGUGCGAUGGAUACUGCCGAGCUAGAGGAUGGUAGAGGCGAGUGGAAUUCCCGGUGUAGCGGUGAAAUGCGUAGAUAUCUGGAGGAAUACCGGUGGCGAAGGCGGCGAUCCUAGGACCGAAACUGACGCUGAGGCGCGAAAGCUAGGGGAGCAAACGGG
rnacentral:rRNA from 1 species